rnacentral:rRNA from 1 species
GACGAACGCUGGCGGUGUGCCUAACACAUGCAAGUCGAGCGAUGAAGCUUCUUCGGAAGUGGAUUAGCGGCGGACGGGUGAGUAACACGUGGGUAACCUGCCUCAUAGUGGGAAUAGCCUCUCGAAAGGGAGAUUAAUACCGCAUAAGAUUGUAGUUCCGCAUGGAAUAGCAAUUAAAGGAUUUAUUCGCUAUGAGAUGGACCCGCGGCGCAUUAGCUAGUUGGUGAGGUAACGGCUAACAAAGGCGACGAUGCGUAGCCGCACUGGGAGGGUGGUGGGCAGCAGUGGGACUGAGACACGGCCCCAGCUCCUACGGGGGGCAGCAGUAGGGAAUAUUCCGAAAGGGACGAAAGUCUGACGGAGCAACGCCGCGUGAGUGAAGAAGGUUUUCGGAUCGUAAAACUCUGUUGUUAGAGAAGAACAAGGAUGAGAGUAACUGCUCGUCCCUUGACGGUAUCUAACCAGAAAGCCAUGGCUAACUACGUGCCAGCAGCCGCCGUAA